rnacentral:rRNA from 1 species
GGCUUAUCAUGCAAGUCGAAGGGUAACAUGGUAGCAAUACUGAUGACGACUGGCGCACGGGUGCGUAACACGUGUGCAACCUACCUUUAACUGGAGCAUAGCCCCUCGAAAGAGGGAUUAAUACUCCAUAACAUAACGAAAAGGCAUCUUUUUGUUAUUAAACCUCCGGGGGUUAAAGAUGGGCACGCGUUGCAUUAGCUAGUUGGUGAGGUAAUGGCUCACCAAGGCUACGAUGCAUAGGGGUUCUGAGGGGAUAUACCCCCACACUGGUACUGAGACACGGACCAGACUCCUACGGGAGGCAGCAGUAGGGAAUAUUGGACAAUGGUGGCAACACUGAUCCAGCCAUGCCGCGUGCAGGAUGACGGCCCUAUGGGUUGUAAACUGCUUUUGUACGGGAAAAAACCCUUGUUCGUGAACAAGGCUGAUGGUACCGUAAGAAUAAGGAUCGACUAACUCCGUGCCAGCAGCCCGCGGUAAU